UGUAUGCAACAACUGCAUACCGUAUGAUAUGGGGAGGAUAAGAAACUGUUUUGAAGAAAAUAGUGGAAAAUUUGUUAAGUUACUCACUAGCAAACUGAAUCACAUUGUGUUUAUGUUGCGCAAAAGAGGAGCAAUUACUGAAGAUCAAAAACAGAGUGUUAACGAGUGUAACGAAAGCUUGUCUCUAUAUACGCGGAUAGAAGCUUUGUUUUGGUAUAUAGAAAUAAAUAAAUCAACAGAUGUCUUCAUAGAUGUUCUAAAUAUAACAGAAAUUAGUGAAAUUGCAAUGAUUGUUCGAUUUGCAGCGAAGUAUUACUUGAAAACAGAACUGAGAGAUUGCGUAUUUGAAAUCGGAUCAAAAGUUGUUUUAUCUUGCGAAGUAAGCUGUGAACGUGCAGUAUACUGGUUCAAAAGUGGAAUCGAAAUAUCACCAAACACAAAAUAUGAAUUAAAGAAUAAAGGCCUUGUCCGGCAGCUCAUCAUUAGGAAAGCGCAAGAAGAGGAUGUGGGCGAUUAUUUAUGCAAAUGUUGCUACGAGAAAUCAGAGUGUACUCUAACAGUUGCAGCGAGGUUCAUAUUUACAUCAGAACUGAUAGAUUGCGUAUUUGAAAUCGGCUCAGAUGUUGUUUUAUCCUGCAAAUGCAGCGAUGAUCGAGACGUGAAAUGGUGCAAAAGUGGAAUCGAAAUAGCGUCAAAUACAAAAUAUAAAUUAAAGAAUAAAGGUCUUGUCCACCAGCUCAUCAUAAUGAAUGCACAGGGAGAAGAUGCAGGCGAUUAUUUAUGUAAAUGUUGCUACGAGACUUCAUGUUGUACUCUAAAAGUUAUCAAAGUAAUUGAAGGUCUCAAAGAUUAAGAGGUAAAAAAUAAAGAAAGAUUACACUUAACUUGCAAGUUGAAUGCAGAUGUCAACAUCAAAUGGGAUAGAAAUGGUCAAGAACUUUCAGGGGACAAUCAAAUAGAUUUUUAUGAAGCAGUUGAGGAAAAUUCGUUCAAGUACACAUUAACGAUAAAAAAUAUGAAGGAAGGUAACAGUGGAGUGUACAGUUGCUUUUACCAAAAUUGGAGAAUUUCUUGUGAUGUAAAAGUAACGGAAAAAACAAUUGAACAAAUAAUCAACGUUGGACCAAUGGAAAUAUUCUAUGAAGUAAAUGACACAAAACGGAAACUAGAGGAGAAGCAAAAGGAAAUAGAAUUAAAACAAAUAAUUUUUUUUGGAAAUGGAAACUGAUAUGAUAACAAAAGAACAAGAGAUGUCUGCAAAAGAAUUUGUAAUAGAAAGUAAGACGUCAGAACUAACUUUAAAAGAAAUAGAGAUAGAGCAAAGAGAAAUUCAACCAAUUUCAAAAGAGGACGAACUGAGAGAAAUUGAAAAAGAAAAACGCCUGUUGCGUCAAGAAAACGAAGAACUGAAACUUGAACUAGAAAAGUCUCAGAAAAAUGUACACAUGAUGGGUACUGAACUGGAAAUACUAAAAGAAGAAAAGGAAAAGCUAGAAGGUAGAGUUGCAGUGUUAGAAGAAUAUAUUCACGCUACAAGUGAAGAUCAUAAGAGAACUUUGAAAGAAAUAAAACAAUUAAUUCAGGAACGUGAGCAAUCCAGAACGUGUGCAGUGUCAUAGUUCGGACUUAGAUGUAAUGAAAAUAUAGUAUUCUUACAGCGGUUUUUAUAAUACUGAAUACUUUUAAAUGGAAGAAAUAACUUGCAUAUUCAUUUAACAUAUUUGCUUCUAUGAAGUUACUUUAUAUAUGUACGUAUAUGUUGUUUUAAACUGAAAUGGAGGACAGUUGUAUAAGAAAAAGUUUUGUUUAUUUUUUGUUCCUUAUGAACACAACGCAAAUAAAAACAGGUUUGAAGUA